UUAUAAAUAACGAAACAGAUCUAUAGAUUACUGCUCCUAACAGCUUUCUUCAAACACUAUCCAGUUCUCAUCUCAUUCCUGAAAUCAAAACAAACAAGUUGGCCCUGCAUAACAUGAUUUUCAACAUGAAACAGUCCCGUGACAAACAAGCUUCAAUCAGCCCCAAUUGAUUCCAGGAGAAUAUCAGCUAUGUUAACUUAAUCAAUGACCAGCACCUUAAACAAUCAACUAAAGAUAUGUAUUAACCAAGAGGAGGGGAGCACGAGCAGAUUGAGCAUGGGACAGAGUUAGAUAUUAGGCCUAUAUCGUGUUUCAGCACUAUCACACAUUUCAAUCAAUUAUGCACAAUAGAUCAUAGAAGUAGACAUUAAACAAACUCAAGCAGGCAGUAUAUUAGAUCUAUUGAAGACAAAACAAAACAGGUAGUGAACAAUUCAAAUUUCAUUCAUGAUUUCGAUUUGAACAAUGAAGGUAAUCGAGUACCUAAACAACAGCAAGAGCAAUAAGAAAAUAAAUCUCUGAAUUUAAGAAGGAAAACUAGAAAACCGAUUCAGCUACAGCUCAAUCAAACAGUAGCAAACAACAUAAGAUGAAGCUCAACAAAACUUCCAACCUAGAAAUUGAAAAGAAACAGUUAUCCAAUGACGAAGCAAGCUAAUGAAAACCUUUGGUUAUAUUUUUUGUUUCUGAAAUCUCAGAGUUGAUUUUCCAGAAAUUUUCUUUACUAAAAUGAAAGUGAAGAACAGUGAACUCUCAGAAAUUAGUGUAAAUUAGUGAGGAAAAUGAAAAAAGGAAUUCUGAACUUUAGGGUGUUUUUGUGUGUGAUGUCUGUGUGAGUGAAGGGAAUAUGAGGCCUCUUAUAUAGGCAAACGGUGAGGGAAUAAUUCUUGGGAAUGCGGUCCCUAAAAAUAAGGAGAAAGGAUAUUUUUUCUAACCAAUUUUCUACUGAUGUCCCUUUUUAUAAGAUAUUAUCCUAUUUUCAGCAUUUUUUAAAACUGAAAAUGGACAGUUGUCCAAUACUAUAAGCUUCUUUUGGUUUUCAAACUUCUAAAAAUAACCCUUCUUACCCCAGAUUUUGACUCAAAUUCCUUGUUUUAUUACCCUAAGUUUUAAGUUCCCUUAAACCCACCUCAAGUUUCAAUUAAGACAUAAAAAAAAAACACAAACACACUGAUGUGAACAAACAUUAACCAACCAAAUUAUUUAACAAGUUAAUUGAUAACUUAUGCAACUAAAAACACUAACUGAAUCCGGCCAGAACAGAAAACCAAAUGAAAAUGAUAAUCAAAAAGAUAUUAAUCUUAAAUCAUACAAUUAACUUAAAUAUUGAACUAUGCCUAACUAAUUAUUCAAAAGAAAAAAACAGAAAAAGAAACAAGAAAAAGGAAAAAGGUAAGUAUACUAAUUUGACAGUAAGUGAGUCAACGAUUGAUGCGAAUCAACGAGCGAUGAUGGCGACGAAGCUUGGCCGGUCAGUGGUGACUUGGCCAGAAUCCAACGGGUUUAGAAAUGAACGAAAUUAACAUGAAUUGAUUGCUUGUAUCAAGAGCAAUCGACUCAUGUAAGUUUGAGUCAAAACAUGCUUGAAAUUUUCAGAAAAAAUCAUAUUUAGGUUUAUGAUUUUCUUAGAUUUGAAAUUGACCGAAUUUGGUGGGUAUUUUGGAGAAGAUGAUGAUGUAUUAGGGUUGAGGGGAAGAUGGGGAGUGUAUGGUGUAAUUUUGGGAUGGUUUGGAGUGGCACCGCCGCCGUGGGCGAUUUUCGGCGACGGUGGGCGGCUACGGCUUCUCUGAGUUAAGAGAGACAGAGAAUGAGAGAGUCUUGGGGAGGGG
rnacentral:lncRNA from 1 species